rnacentral:tRNA from 1 species
GGGAAGGUGGCUUAGUGGUAGAGCACUUGCCUUGCAUGCAUGAGACCUUGUCUUCCAUUCCU